rnacentral:rRNA from 1 species
GUUGGUGUUGAUUACUGCGAGGGUCCACCUGUUCCCAUCCCGAACACAGAAGUUAAGCUCGCGUGUGCCAAAGAUACUUGGCUGGUAACGGCCCGGGACAAUAGGUUUUCGCCAACA